AAACAAACUCUUUCCUAUGAGUAUAUACUUCCCCCAUUUAACAAAAAGACACGCUCCAUGUAGUACAGAAUCCUGUGCAAAAUGAUUAGGCUACCAGAACAUAGAAGUGCUUUAGUCCUUUUUCCUAUGAAAGGUAACUAAUUGUCAGUAUUGACUAGAAUUUUCCCUGAUAGAAUAAACUCGGUUUUUGACAAUGCUCUAUUUUCUUUUUAGUCCUUGUGUUUAAUUUCUCCCCUAGGAAUCCGUUCUAGGAUUCAGGCAAACAUGUUUUAGAUGUUUGCAAAGGGCACAGGAUGAAUCCAGAGCCUCCUUUCUGCAGUCACAAAUGCCAUUCUGGACUAAGAGUCCAUGGCACAAGUGAGCUCACCUUUUCCUAAGCCUUUCCAAAAGGCACACACAGGCCUUGCACACUGCUGAGCCCAAUGCCACAGAGGCUUCCUAAGUGACUGCACCUAAGGGGUUGGUAAAAAAAACUGUGAAAGACACAAGAGAAUGCCAAUAAAUCCUUCACUCCAUCCCAGAGCUGGGAUGUCAAGCCAUUUUGUCUUUCCACAGAACCUCUACACAAAAGCCCUCAGCCUUCAAGGAGGCUUCACCCCUUGUUCAGACAUUCAGGGUACCACCCAAAGCAUAUGAUAAUCACAUAUGAUUUGCAUAGCUUUUUUCUUCUACAUAGUCGUUUAAAUUGUAGAAUUUUGCACAGAGAAAUUGAAUUAAGCUAAGUAGAAAAUAUAUGGUUUUGUAUAGCUUAAAAAUACAAUGAUGAAAUACCAUACACAUGUACUUAUUAUUUUUCAUUAGUUACCAUUAAACUAAUAAUAGUUGCUCUUAUAUUUAACCCAAAAUGGUAUGUCCUUAACAAAUUGCAAGACUGUCUAAUAAAUUUGGAUAUCAAAUUUUAGAUAAAAUCAUUUGCCAUCGUGUAAUAGUGACCAGCAAUUAAGACAGGUAAGGAUUCUAAUUCAUUAUCUCAUAAAACCAUUGUGUAACAGGGACAUUGGUGAGCACAAAAAAUUAGCACUAAGAUAAGGACAACAAAUACAAACAUAAAAGGACUUAUGAACUGAAGUAAGAAACUAUGAAAGUUGAUUCUUUUGAUGAGCACUGAAAUGAAAAUAUGCCCCAUAGGAACAGAAGCAUUUGUUCUCAAACUCAGUGCUCUGUUGCAAGAUGAUUUUUAAAAAUCUAUGAAUAUUUAAGAGACAGAAAUCAACUCAUCCUGAUUUUGCUACAUUUAUAAUGCAUGACUAGUGUUAAUCAUAUUUUUGCCCAUAUGGAAAAAAACAAGCAAAUAGAAAUGCUAGACACAUAGAGAUACAUGCUAUUUCCUUUUUUUUUUAAUUAAUAUCCUUCCUCAGGUUAAAGAAUAGGAUACCCUAAGGCAAUCUCUUAAGUUAUUGAUGCAUAAAAUCACAAAAAGUAUAUCUGUAAAUCAACAAACAUUUUAUUUCCAAGGAAAAAAAGUAACAUCAUUAGUUCAGGGAAAUUCAGGAGUCACUUGAAUCAAAGACCAAAUACCAACCGACUUCAGUGACAGGAGGAAAUGGCUUUUGGGGUUAUGCCAUGAAGCUGCAUUGUGGUCUAGAAUCAUAAUAAAUUUUAGUUGUAAACAGUGUCAGUAUCAUUGUGUAUUUAACUUUCUUCUUGUUAUUUUCUUUACCUUAUGUGUACAGAUGACCAGAUCCUGAAUCCCUCAAGACAAAGGAACACAGAAUAUGCAUUGGCUGUUCUUGGCAGGCUUCCACCAAAGUAUUAGUCAAUGGUUUUCCCAGUGUUUCUGGAAGCAUUAUGGUUAAUAUUCCACUCAGAAGAGCCAUGAUUCCAACAAGCAACUGGAAGAAAUAAACAGUAACUGUAAAGACAUGUUCACAGAGCUACAAUUUCCC